rnacentral:rRNA from 1 species
GGCUCAGGAUGAACGCUAGCUACAGGCUUAACACAUGCAAGUCGAGGGGCAGCAUUUUGGUUGCUUGCAACCAAUGAUGGCGACCGGCGCACGGGUGAGUAACACGUAUCCAACCUGGCCCAUACUCGGGUAUAGCCUCUCGAAAGGGAGAUUAAUCCCCGAUGUUGUUGUUAUGUCGCAUGAUGUUCAACCAAAGAAUUUCGGUAUGGGAUGGGGAUGCGUUCCAUUAGCUUGUUGGCGGGGUAACGGCCCACCAAGGCGACGAUGGAUAGGGGUUCUGAGAGGAAGGUCCCCCACACUGGAACUGAGACACGGUCCAGACUCCUACGGGAGGCAGCAGUGAGGAAUAUUGGUCAAUGGGCGCGAGCCUGAACCAGCCAAGUAGCGUGAAGGAUGACUGCCCUACGGGUUGUAAACUUCUUUUGUUUGGGAAUAAAAGACGCUACGUGUAGCGUUGUGCAUGUACCUUACGAAUAAGCAUCGGCUAAUUCCGUG